rnacentral:lncRNA from 1 species
UUGCUUUUGUGAAGUCCUGUCAUUGCUUUUGUGAAGUCCUAUGAACUUAUUAUUUGUCCUCAAAGAAUGAUCCUCUGGAAGGAAAUGGAAGUGCCCAAAAUAAUCAAUUUUGCCCCUUAGGGCAUGUGAAAGUCCUAUAAACUCGAUGAGCAUGGAUGUAACAAGAUACACAUAUGGUUUUCUAACGUUCUGUUUUUCCUCCCGCGGAUGUUGAUCUCUUGAUAGGAUUUUAGUUUGAUUAAUAGAAGUAAAUGGUACGAACUAUGCAAUUAAGUCAUAUAGCGUUAGCACAAACAUUGUGCUAGUCAUCAAAGUUGGUGUAGUGGUAAGUCACGUUAAUUUUAAUGCCCAGGUACUGGGUUCGAAACCCGCCUCCGAUGCCACUUCUUUUUCUUUUUUUUUCUACUUACCAGUGCCGCACAGUUAAAAAGGGUAUAGAACCACUUCUUGUCACAGCAGAGUACUUGGCACAAUGGUAGGCACGGUGGUUUUUGAAGUCUCACAUCGUGGGUUCGAUUCCCAUGGCUGGCACACUUUUUUUUGCCCCCUAUAUUUACCGAAAGCCCAAGGCCAUGCCGUGGGUGGGCAUUAUGAUGCUGGGCCGGUAAAUGGAUGGUGGCGUAAAUAGAUAAAAAAAACUUAAGUGCAUAUUUGGACAUGUACUGUUAGUAGUUCUAUUGGUAAGACAUGUUUUUACUUUUUUUUUAGGUCUUGUGUUCAAAUCUGACAAAUCACUUUUUUUGUUCCCAUCCGCACUAUAAGAAUAGUUUUAGUGUUGCUAUGUAAAAAAAAUAGGUUUUUUAGGUAAAGAAAAAAAUAAUUUAAUAGAGCGUCUUUUGGGUACUUUUGAUAAUAACAUUUUCUAUUUUUCUUUACACUAAAUAUUGGUAGCGGGCCAACUGUUUUGGGCUAACUAGCGUAUGACGAAUUCAUACGAGUCUGUGACGAUCUUGAUAAAAGCAUCAACAAUUAGCGGGCUGAGAAUAUCCAGUGGGCUCAUCCUUGACGAAAAAAUGAAUAUCGUCACUGAUUACAUCUAGCAGUGGUUGUUAGCGACGAUUUGUAAAUUCGUCAGCAAGAAAUCGUCACGGAUUCACAGAUUUCUUGUAGUGUCCCAUGACCAGGCCAGAGCACGACCUCCCUUCCCUUGCCUCUGUUCGUCUGUUCGGUAAGGAGAACGAAGGAGGGACAUCGGGUUAGAAUAAGAAACAACUGAGGGUUCCAGAUGCGAAGCCAAGACUCAUAUGAAUAGUGUUACUGGGCUGUGGCGUGAGUCAUGGAAAAUCCACGGUCCCGGUGCAAGAUCUGUUUUCCUUUUCUUUUGUUUUGCAGAUUUUAUGGAUGAGCUUUGGAAAUGCAUAGAAAUUCGUAGAAAAGUCGUCAAAUAGCAAAUGUGGACUUUUUUGAAUCCUUGUGAAAUUCUCUAUGCAGUAGAUCUAUAUUAUUGCAUGUUUUAGUUUAAAGUUUUAACGGUAAAAAUAGAUUUGUGCAGUUCGGUUUUAAUUGCUUGUUAUAUUUGUCUUUUUCAUAACCGCUGUAUUAUUGCUCAAAUAAAUGUGAAAAUAUUGUGACAUGCUUUAAAUAUAAUAUUUGAUGUCUGGUAUAAGUUUCAUGAAUUUAGGAAUGACAGAUUAAGAGGUAUAAAAUAACAAAUACCCUGUGUUGCUUUGCUCCUAUUCUGAGUAGAUCUACAUGUUU